CUCUCUCUCUCUCUCUCUCUCUCUCUCUCUCUCUCUCUCUCUCCCCCUUCUUCUCCUCCUACCACCCACCACUCCCCCUCCUCUCUCUCUGGAGGAGUAGGUGGGGGGGGAGGAACCAGGAGAUGUAGAUUUACCCCUUGAUGGGCAACGUAUUAAGAUUUAUUUCCUUGUUAUAGGAUUUUUUUUUUUUUGGUCCCAUAAAGGAUUAGAUCCGAUAUCAAAUAUUCAUCAAAGGGGUUUUAUAUAUUUGCUUGGUCGGUCGUUGGGGCUGUCUUGCCUGUUCUCUCUCACCACCAAUGGUAAUUGUUCUCACUGUGAUCCUAUGUGCAGCGAUUCCUGGUGUUUAUUUUUGGUUACUUUGAUAUAGGUGGUGGUUUUCAUACCCUGUUGGAUUUUCCUGGUGUUUCUUUUUUGUCCAAGUUUGCUUUAUCCUCUUGGCCUUCUUCGAGACUGAAGAAAUAUAUGUAUGAUAGCCAGGUCUUCUUUUCUCCUAAAUCUGCUGCAAGAUCGAAGAAGAAUACAUUACGAGAAAUUAGUUGCAAAGAUGGCAUCAUCUUCAGGAAGAAUCAUUUUUGAACUCUUCAGUGGCAUCGUCACGCAACCGAGAGGAAUGUUAGAAUAGUAGGAUGGUUCACGGGCUGGCUGUUCUCAAGUUCGUACCAGUAAAACUCAAUUAGAUUAGAUUAGAUUCUCUGCUCCUAUCUUCUCAUAUUUAAUGUAUUCGUAUCGCUUUUGUGCGUCGAUGUGAUGUAAUAAGCCUUUUGUUCCAGUUCUUUUUUAUGUACGGUCGGAAUAUCCUAAACAGCUUGGUCCAGCUUCAUGACAACUCGAGUACUGUUUAUGUUC